rnacentral:rRNA from 1 species
UGCGUAACACGUGGGCAAUCUGCCCUCGGAUGGGGGAUAACUCGUCGAAAGGCGAGCUAAUACCGCAUGACAUUCCCGGGACUCCGGUCCUGGGACUCAAAGGCCGCAAGGCCGUCUGAGGAGGAGCCCGCGCCCGAUUAGCUAGUUGGUGAGGUAACGGCUCACCAAGGCUUUGAUCGGUAGCCGGUCUGAGAGGAUGGCCGGCCACACUGGAACUGAGACACGGUCCAGACUCCUACGGGAGGCAGCAGUGGGGAAUAUUGCGCAAUGGGCGAAAGCCUGACGCAGCGACGCCGCGUGGGGGAUGAAGCUUCUCGGAGUGUAAACCCCUUUCGACCCGGACGAAUGACCCGCAAGGGUUUGACGGUACGGGUAUAAGAAGCCCCGGCUAACUACGUGCCAGCAGCCGCGGUAAUACGUAGGGGGCCAGCGUUGCUCGGAAUUACUGGGCGUAAAGGGUUCGUAGGUGGUGCGGCAAGUUGGAAGUGAAAUCUCUGGGCUUAACCCAGAGGCUGCUUUCAAAACUGCCGUGCUCGAGUGCGAGAGAGGUCAGUGGAAUUGCAGGUGUAGCGGUGAAAUGCGUAGAUAUCUGCAGGAACACCCGUGGCGAAGGCGGCUGACUGGAUCGCAACUGACACUGAGGAACGAAAGCUAGGGGAGCAAACAGGAUUAGAUACCCUGGUAGUCCUAGCCCUAAACCAUCAGAACUU